GUCCAGACAGAAGACCGGCUCUCUCUUGGGCAGGAUAAAGGCCAGAGGCUCCUGGACGACGCUGACGUUCACGUGCCCCAGGUUUCCGUACUUGGAGAGCUGAGUGGGUGGAAUGCCUGAUCCAGAAGGUCUGUGCGAUCUGAGCUGGAGGAAAGAGGACUUGGAGACAGCGAUUUAAAUAAGGAACAAGGUCUUCCAGGAAGACAGUGCAGAACUGGACAAAGAGCUCUUGCUCCCCACUGCUGAAGGCAGCCUCUUCUGCACGAUGGAAGGCCAGGAUUACUUUAGUUACCUAGGAGAAAAGGGCACCACCAAUUACCUGUUAAUCUAUCCCCAUCAGCAGUGACAAAGAUGUGCAGCCCUCAAGUUUUCUGAAAGAACACUCCUUCCAAACAGUACAUCAUUAUCUUGUAUUUCACAACUGUGGUCAGUCUUCACAAUUCUGUCACUUCAAUGAUGUAUUCCUUACUCAACUAGUUUCAUUAUUGGCGCAGUUUCCAAUUCCAGUGCAGGAACAUCAUGAAAUACACAGAAUACAACAUUUUUGGCUCCAAUGGGAGAUGGACUGGAACUCUGAUGGAUCCAGGAAAAUACCAGCAAUACCAUGAAAGGUUUUACUGAGUAAGGCCUCUGAAAUUCCAAAAUGCUAGAACCACUAGAAAAUUGUAAAGGAGCAGGAAAACAGAGCUGGAAAAGAACAUACAUUAUUUCCACAUACAAAGAACAUUCAUUAUUUCCACAUACAAAUAACAGAGCAAGCAUAGCUAACAUUACAGACAGGUGUCACGGUGACAGGGUUAAGAACAGAGACUCUGGGAAACUGCCUGGUGCUUCAGUGGUUAGAAAUCUAUGCUUUCACUGCCAAGGGCCUGGGUUCAAUCCCUGGUCACAAGCUGCAUUGUCCCGCCAAACAAACAAGUAAAUAACGAAGAGCCUCUGGUGCUAGAUGUUCUGGGCUCUAGUUCCAGCUGUGCACUCAGUGCUUCUGUGGAGAAAGACUCAAUGCAAGCAUGUCACAACUGCCACCUGGUUGACAGGGAUUAUAGGAUGCCAUCAACUGUAAGAAGCACCUCAACAUCUAAAGAUGUAAUGUUUAAAAACGUGCACCAUACUCAGAAAUUGGUAGGAUCAGUAGUGUUACUUAUAUUAGAUGGAAUUCUAAGACGGCUCUUGUGAUCCCCACCUCCUGGUACCCACUCCUUUGUGUUUUCUCCUCCUCCUUGAGCGCAGGCAGAACCAAUAGGAUAUGGCAAAGGUGAAGGAUUCUGCAGUUUUCAUUAACAUCCCAAAUCGGCUGACUGUGAAUUAAUGAAAAAGGAAGUUAUCCUGGGUGGGCCUGACUUAAUUAGAUGAACCUCUUAAAAAGCGGGCUGAGGAAGAGACUUUGAGCAGGAGAGAUGUGCUCCCACUGGCCCUGAAGAAUCAAAAACUGUGAACUGCUCAUGGAGUGGGGUGGUCUCCAGGAGUUGAGGGCCUCAGUCCUACAACUGUAAGGAACAGGAAUAUGCCACUGUGAAUGAACCUGAAAGGAGGGGAUCCCGAGCCCCAGAGGAGUCCACAGUCGGGCCAACACCUCGAUUACAACCUCGUGAGCAGAAGCUCAACCCAGUUAUACUGUGCCUGGACUCCUGACCCAAAGAAACUGAGACAUGAUAAAUAUGUGUUGUUUUAAGCUGCUAUGUUUGUGUGAGUUUGUCAUGCAGCAACAGAAAACCAAUACAUCACUGAAAAAUUACUCCAGGUGAGCCACUUCAUGAAGGAGGACUAACCAGACCUUUUCAACAGAAAAACCUCUAAAACCACACUAAACCUAAGUCAGCAGGCACCCUGUCACACAGACUGGUGUGUUACAAAAGUCUGGCCACCUGUAACAAAAGGAGCACCCCGCUACCGCCCCCCGCAAAAAAAAAAAAGGAGGCCCCAGUAGAGAGCCAACAGUCUGCACUCACCUUGU